rnacentral:rRNA from 1 species
UACGUAGGUGGCAAGCGUUGUCCGGAAUUAUUGGGCGUAAAGCGCGCGCAGGCGGUCCUUUAAGUCUGAUGUGAAAGCCCACGGCUCAACCGUGGAGGGUCAUUGGAAACUGGGGGACUUGAGUACAGAAGAGGAAAGCGGAAUUCCACGUGUAGCGGUGAAAUGCGCAGAUAUCUGGAGGAACACCGGUGGCGAAGGCGGCAUCCUGGACCGGCAUUGACGCUGAGGCGCGAAAGCCAGGGGAGCAAACGGG